GGGUCAGUAGGUUGGUCGUGCCACCGGUACGUACUGGUCUCACUGAUUCCUCCUUCCUGAAGAACCGUAAUGCCAUUAAUUGGGUGUUGCGGGGAAACAGGACUGUUACUUUGAAAAAAUUAGAGUGUUUAAAGCAAGCUAACGCUUGAAUACAUUGGCAUGGAAUAAUGAAAUAGGACGAUCGAUCCUAUUUUGUUGGUUUCUAGGAUUGACGUA
rnacentral:rRNA from 1 species